CAGGCCUUGUGUGAGAUUUAUAUCUGGGCUAAGUCUCGAAGGCAUUCGUGCUGGUAUUAUAUCCGGGCUAAGUCCCGAAGACAUUCGUGCUGAUAUUAUAUCCGGGCUAAGUCCCGAAGGCAUUCGUGCUGAUGUUAUAUCCGGGCUAAGUUCCGAAGGCAUUUGGGUUGGAAAUGUGUGAUCUUGCUGUAAUAAUUCAAAUAAAUGGGCUCACAAACCUAAGAUGGUCAGAUCUUGUUCGUUAGCUACGGUCUCGGGGAUCCCAAAGUCGAAGUCGUCCACACUAUCUAAGCCCAUUCGGUACACUAGUAGUUAAACUUUGAUAAUGGCAUGUAUAGGCUUGUCUUUUUGUUGUUAAAUAAGUAUCUUUUUGAUGAUGUAUAUAUGUAUAGCCAUGCGAAAAUGGCUUGUUAAGUUACUAUAUGUAUUCCAUAUAGUUAAUGUGAAUGUGUGUUUGAUAUUUGAUUAA